rnacentral:rRNA from 1 species
GAUGAACGCUGGCGGCGUGCCUAAUACAUGCAAGUCGAGCGAACAGACGAGGAGCUUGCUCCUUUGACGUUAGCGGCGGACGGGUGAGAACACGUGGGUAACCUACCUAUAAGACUGGGAUAACUUCGGGAAACCGGAGCUAAUACCGGAUAAUAUUUCGAACCGCAUGGUUCGAUAGUGAAAGAUGGCUUUGCUAUCACUUAUAGAUGGACCUGCGCCGUAUUAGCUAGUUGGUAAGGUAACGGCUUACCAAGGCAACGAUACGUAGCCGACCUGAGAGGGUCAUCGGCCACACUGGAACUGAGACACGGUCCAGACUCCUACGGGAGGCAGCAGUAGGGAAUCUUCCGCAAUGGGCGAAAGCCUGACGGAGCAACGCCGCGUGAGUGAUGAAGGUCUUCGGAUCGUAAAACUCUGUUAUUAGGGAAGAACAAACGUGUAAGUAACUGUGCACGUCUUGACGGUACCUAAUCAGAAAGCCACGGCUAACUACGUG